rnacentral:lncRNA from 7 species
UGCCGACUAACCGACCGCGAUGACCUAAGGCAGAGGAACGGCGGAUCGCGACCGACCCUCUCCCUAGUCGCGGGCCGCACCGAUCUGGAGGCGGUGGAUCUAGCAGAAGCGAGGACGCUUACCGGAUUCGUCGCCGGCGGCGGAGGAGGCUAGGGUUAUUGGAGAGAGGAGGGGAGGAAUCUCGUUGUAAGGCACGGCUUUGGGAGGCAACAGCCGAGCGAGGAGAUCGACUGGAAGUUGGGAUCGAUGGGGAAGAUUUGGUUUAGUUUUUGGAUGAUUGAUGGGUCGGAUGGAGACGACCGCGUACACAGCCACAGGCACCACGGAAGGUGACCAGGCGAAGCAAACGGAAACACGGGACGGUUACUUUGGGUUAAACGUUGUGGAGGGACGAAAACGGAUAUUCUAAUAUCGAUUUUUUAUUUUUUAUUUGAUUAUGUAUAAAUAUGAUAUAGAACCUGCUAUAAAAAAUUAUAUUAUUGUUUUUAGUAUUAAAACUUAUGAAGAAUUAUAAAAAACUAAACUUAAAUUUUAUCAUAUAUUUUCUUAAAAAGCAAAGUACAUAUAUGUUGCUAUGGUUUUUUAUUUAUGCUUAUAUAGAAUAUAUAACAAAAAGAUAUACUUGUUUUGCGUUU